rnacentral:lncRNA from 1 species
UCUCACAGCCCUGCCUGCUGCGGGGGCCCGGGGCGUCGGGGCUCUCCGGGUCUUCCGCUGGGAGCACUCCUGGGCUCUGGGCCCGGUCCCCAACCCCGAGGAAGCCCGCCUGGACUGGGAGCCACUGUUUGUUUUGUUCCAUUUUGUACCCAGUUUGGAAGCAGUGAGGGUGGGGUAGGGACUUCUUUCAGAAUUUUCUCAGGUCUGUCCCCGAGAGGCAGAGACACAGGGAGGGUCGCCCUGGCAGGGCUGUGGGUGGCUGGGAGGUGCCCACCGCCCCGCACUCUGCCCGGAACUGAGCUGUCGGGGCUCGUGGCAGCUGGAGGUGGGCCCUCAGCCUGGCCACGGCCACGCACUGAGGGGGCCUCCCCGAGGGCCUGAGGGCCGGUUUCUGGGGGGAGGAAGUGGCCGUCUCGUGUGGCGUGGGCUGAGCACUGCAGUGGUUGGUUUUGUGUGGUUGGUUUCUUGCACCAACGUGACGGGAGUGGCCCGCCGGUGGCGCCCCGCACCUGCCCCGCGCACCUGGGCCCUGCGAGUGAGUGCUCAGGGCGGCCCUUGACCAGGGAGUGCAGAGAAACAGCGCACACGUCAGACCAGCCCUGCACCAGCCCUGUCCCUGUCCGUCCGCCUCCCACCUCCCUCCUGUGCCUGAUACGCAGGGCCCAGGGUGGGGGGCAGGCUUCUCGGCCUGUUCUCCUCGGGCAUCUCCACCCGAAGGGCCCUCUCUGGUGCCGUGCGUCCACUUGCGGGGGUUUGUGCCAUAGCCCUGACGUGUGGCCGGGGACAGUGGUGCCGCUGGCGGUGGGCUCCCAGGGGCCCACAACGCACAGGGAGCCGGGGCAGGCCCUCGAGGGGGAGGCGGUGGGGGGCGCAUCCAGAGUGUUAACUUCUGGAGGGGCCGGAGCGCCAAGAUCCCGGGGCAAGCCCGGCUGCUGUGCCCAACCUCCCCGCCUGGCCCGCUCGCCUCUGAGGCGCUUGCCCGAGUGCCAACCUACCCCCACCGCUGUGUCACAUCACCCAGCAGAACUGCCCUCCGAGUGCCAACGCCCCAGUGGUGUGAGGGGCCGUGCCGGCCGGCGGGGGUGACCUCGCCCGCUUGUACUUGUAUAUUAAACAGUCCUGAUUUCAGACAAUUUAAACCUUAAUCUAUUUAAAAAAGAAUAUUAUAUAAAAAUGCUGUUUUUAAACCUUUUGUCAUUUGAAAUGCAUGUGUUGUCCGUGCGGGCUGAGGGGCGGGCGCCGUCGGCUCAGUGCCAGUCUCCUGUGGCCGGAGCUGUCCGGGUUCAGGCAGCGUGUCGGGGCCCUGACCCCUUAAUCCAGAGAUACGUGAUGGAAAUAGACUUUUCAUACCUUUCUUCUGAAAUGAAUUCUGUUUUAAAUUGGAAUAAAUUUUGUUCCU